rnacentral:rRNA from 1 species
AUUGAACGCUAGCGGCAGGCCUAACACAUGCAAGUAGGGCGCGCGGCGGACGGGUGCGUAAUGUAUGGGGAUCUGCCUGAUGGAGGGGGAUAACUACUGGAAACGGUAGCUAAUACCGCAUCCCAUCAGAUGAACCCAUAUGGGAUUAGCUUGUAGGUGAGGUAACUGCUCACCGAGGCGACGAUCCCUAGCUGGUCUGAGAGGAUGAUCAUACAUACUGGGACUGAGACACGGCCCAGAUUCCUAAGGGAGGCAGCAGGGGGGAAUAUUGCACAAGGGGGGAAAGCCUGAUGCAGACAUGCGGGGUGUAUGAAGAAGGCCUUCGGGUUGUAAAGUACUUUCAGUCGGGAGGCGUUACCGACAGAAGAAGCACCGGCUAACUCCGUGCCAGCAGCCGCGGUAAUUC